rnacentral:lncRNA from 1 species
UAGACUAAGCAAGUUGACUACUCAGCCAUGAACAGAGAAAACACAGAGAUCAAUUCUGAAUAAGACUUCAUGUAAAUAAAAGAGAUAGAAAGAGGGUUCAGGAUAAUCUUCUCUAUGGUGAGAGAGAUGGAGCCUUCUCCCUUUACAAUCCAAAAGCACAAAAGUCUCCAAUGGUUUUCUUCUGUCUAGAAUAGCGUAGUAUGAUCAGGAAAAAUAGAAAAAGAAGAUAUAUCAAAGCCACAGGCGGCUGGGAGAGAAAAAUAGAGAGAUUAGGGCAAAUCCCGAAAUAGGUUGUAGUUUCCUUAAAAAUCUCUGCCGCUGGAACAGUCACUCGGAACAGUCACUCGGGUUGCUCCGCUUUCCGGAACAGUCAUCAAGACUGUUCUGCGUGAAAAUCACUGAAUUGCACUGUUGUCUGCCUCUUUUGUUCCAGCUGGUCCAUCUCCCAUCCAAUGCAACUCCAGACCUGUAAUGACUCCAAAAGGACUAGGAAGACUCGAUAAAGACUUGAAAACCAAUUUAAAAGCAUAUAUACAAGAUGUAUAAAACACCAUAUAUCAAUUCCCCCAGACUUAGAUCCUUGUUUGUCCUCAAACAAUGUCAAGUAUCAAGAACAGGAAGAAAGGUUUGAAAGUGUGGGAACUCUCCUAUUCUCAGCAACCAUACUUUAACCACGAAUCUCUGAACCAUACAAGCAGUAAAACUAGGACAACACACCCUUACCGGAACCCCACUGACUGCUGUUCAAAAAUCGGCUACAUACUCUUCAUCUCAAACCUGAAAAAGCAACACUAUCGAGACAGAACUCCCUACAUUCAUUUAAGAGUAGCGUGAGCUUCUCAUCACAGGCAUCAGUCAGGGUAGACGGUCUAGGUGUGGAACAGGCUAUUUAAUGGUGGAGUUAAGAGUGUUUAAGGGCUACCAUUUCAUUAAAGAGGGUGCAGGAUAUCACACAAAAUGGCAAGAGAGGAUAGAUCCAUUGAUGUCCACAGCCUCUACUCGUUUUUGCUCUAUCUGGUGCGACUGUUCUGAUGAUGGAACAGGCAACUGAUUGUUCUGCGUUCCACUUUCCUUUUGGUACCCACUCCUUUGUUCGAUCUUCCCAGUGGCUCAUGUUUCUUUGAUUUCAUCCCCUUCUCCAUCACAUUGAUCUCGUUUUUUUUUUUUUUUUAGAGACUGAUAUGGUGAUGUGACGAAGAAAGAGGUAAUACAUGAUCGUUCUGAGUGCCACUGGUGGUUCUGAUUUCGCGACCAUUCUGGUUCUCCACCCCUGCUCUUGCGCAGUUCAUUGGUUAUGGAGCGGUUGCUCCCUUAAUCUGCUUGUUCUCCUUUCUGACAUAAUUUCUGCAGCAGUAACGAGUAGGAGGCUGCGUUGAUCCUUUCCUCUCCGACCUUUUUGCACAUAUCUGCACAUAUGACACUGAAAAACAAAUGCAUGAAGGUGGAAUAAAGGCUAAGGUGCAGGGUGGGAACUAGCUAAAGAUGAGCUAGCCACUCAGGAUCAGCAAGAUGGAUAAAAAGGAUAAGAAGUCCUGAGUGUGUUCUCGUUUCCCUGAUCUAAUGCCCAUAACAAGAAGAAUUUCAGUUAAGAUUAGGUUCAAGUAAGGUGGAGUUAAGUCUGCCCAGUGUAACCUGAUCGGCUGAGAACUUCUGGAGAAUCAAGUGAGAUAUGUCAGGGUGUUCCAGGUCCACAUGUGUGUCUUUUGCCACUGCUAAGGUCACUGAAUAAGAUAACUAAAGCACGAGGUGGUUAGUGAUCAACACGGAAUAAGGUCCUAAUUCCCACAAAUUUUUGACUGACUCAAUAAAAACAGACUCAAAUUGACCCAAAAGAAAAAAAACAAAAGAAAGAAACGAGUUAGUAAACGACGAAAACCCUCCCCCAGACUUACUUCACAACGUCCCUGGUGUGAAAAUAAAUCAGAGAGAAGGUGAAAACAAGAAUAUUUUUUUUUUUUUUUUGGGUCGAGAUACUUACCUGGCGCGGAGCAGCCUGACAGAGCAAGACGCGGUUGCUCCGGUAAAGGAUGCUCUGGAAUAAGAGCAGCCAGCUGCUUGCUCCAGUCAAGGGUCUCGGAUUUUCU